CCUACGGGAGGCAGCAGUGGGGAAUAUUGCACAAUGGGGGGAACCCUGAUGCAGCAACGCCGCGUGGAGGAAGAAGCAUUUCGGUGUGUAAACUCCUUUUAUAUAGGAAGAUAAUGACGGUACUGUAUGAAUAAGCACCGGCUAACUCCGUGCCAGCAGCCGCGGUAAUACGGGGGGUGCAAGCGUUACUCGGAAUCACUGGGCGUAAAGGGCAUGUAGGCGGAUAUAUAAGUCAAGAGUGAAAUCCUAUGGCUCAACCAUAGAACUGCUUUAGAAACUGUAUAUCUAGAGGAUGGGAGAGGUAAAUGGAAUUUCUGGUGUAGGGGUAAAAUCCGUAGAGAUCAGAAGGAAUACCGAUUGCGAAGGCGAUUUACUGGAACAUAACUGACGCUAAGAUGCGAAAGCGUGGGGAGCGAACAGGAUUAGAUACCCUAGUAGUC
rnacentral:rRNA from 1 species